UACAGAGGGUGCGAGCGUUAAUCGGAAUUACUGGGCGUAAAGCGCACGUAGGUGGCGACGUAAGUCGGGUGUGAAAGCCCCGGGCUCAACCUGGGAAUUGCAUUCGAGACUGCAUUGCUGGAGUACGGAAGAGGAGGGCGGAAUUCCCGGUGUAGCGGUGAAAUGCGUAGAUAUCGGGAGGAACAUCAGUGGCGAAAGCGACUUCCUGGUCCAAUACUGACGUUCAUGUGCGAAAGCGUGGGGAGCAAACAGG
rnacentral:rRNA from 1 species